UACAGAGGGUGCAAGCGUUGUCCGGAAUCACUGGGCGUAAAGGGCGCGUAGGCGGCUCAUGAAGGCUGUGGUGAAAGUCCGGGGCUCAACCUCGGAUCGGCCGUGGCGACUCGUGGGCUGGAGCACUGUAGAGGCGGGUGGAGUUCCGGGUGUAGCGGUGGAAUGCGUAGAGAUCCGGAAGAACACCAGUGGCGAAGGCGGCCCGCUGGGCAGUGGCUGACGCUGAGGCGCGACAGCGUGGGGAGCAAACAGG
rnacentral:rRNA from 1 species